rnacentral:rRNA from 1 species
UUUCGAAUCAUUCACAAUGGGCGAAAGCCUGAUGGUGCGACGCCGCGUGAGGGAUGAAGGUCUUCGGAUUGUAAACCUCUGUCACCGGGGAAGAAACGCUUUGAGCUAAUAGUUCAAAGCCUGACUUAACCCGGAGAGGAAGCAGUGGCUAACUCUGUGCCAGCAGCCGCGGUAAUACAGAGACUGCAAGCGUUAUUCGGAUUCACUGGGCGUAAAGGGUACGCAGGCGGCCAAGUGUGUGAGGCGUGAAAGCCCGUGGCUUAACCCCGGAAUUGCACCUCAAACUACAUGGCUAGAGCAUUGGAGAGGGUAGCAGAAUUCAUGGUGUAGCAGUGAAAUGCGUAGAUAUCAUGAGGAAUACCAGAGGCGAAGGCGGCUACCUGGACAAUUGCUGACGCUCAGGCACGAAAGCGUGGGGAGCAAAAGGGAUUAGAUACCCCUGUAGUCCACGCCCUAAACGGUGCACACUAGGUCUUGGCGGAUUCGACCCCACCAGGGCCCCAGCUAACGCGUUAAGUGUGCCGCCUGAGGACUACGGCCGCAAGGCUAA